rnacentral:rRNA from 1 species
UACGGGGGGGGCAAGCGUUGUUCGGAAUUACUGGGCGUAAAGGGCGCGUAGGCGGUUUGCUAAGUUGGAUGUGAAAACUCUGGGCUUAACCCAGAGCCUGCAUUCAAUACUGGCAGGCUAGAGUUCUGGAGGGGAUAGCGGAAUUCCUGGUGUAGCGGUGAAAUGCGUAGAGAUGUGGAGGAACACCGAUGGCGAAGGCAGCCUUCUGGGCCAACACUGACGCUCAUGCACGAAAGCGUGGGGAGCAAACAGG